rnacentral:rRNA from 1 species
CGCGGCCUAUCAGCUUGUUGGCGGGGUGACGGCCCACCAAGGCGGUGACGGGUAGCUGGUCUGAGAGGAUGGCCAGCCACAUUGGGACUGAGAGACGGCCCAGACUCCUACGGGAGGCAGCAGUGGGGAAUCUUGCGCAAUGGCCUGACGGCUGACGCAGCGACGCCGCGUGGGGGAGGAAGGGCUUCGGCUCGUAAACCCCUGUUGCCCAGGGCGAACCUCUGGUCUCGACCAGACUGACGGUACCGGGUGAGGAAGCACCGGCUAACUCCGUGCCAGCAGCCGCGGUAAUACGGAGGGUGUGAGCGUUGUCCGGAAUCACUGGUCGUAAAGGGCGCGUAGGCGGCCCGUCAAGCGUGUGGUGAAAGCCCGGGGCUCAACCCCGGGUCGGCCGUGCGGACUGGCGGGCUCGAGCACUGUAGGGGCGGGUGGAAUUCCGGGUGUAGCGGUGGAAUGCGUAGAGAUCCGGAAGAACACCGGUGGCGAAGGCGGCCCGCUGGGCAGGAAGGCCCCCUCACGGGGGCCGGCUGACGCUGAGGCGCGACAGUGUGGGGAGCAUACAGGAUUAGAUACCCUGGUAGUCCACGCCGUAAACGAUGGGCACUAUGUGCCUGGGGGAGCGACCCCCCGGGUGCCGGCGCUAACGCAUUAUUGCCCCGCCUGGGUAGUACU